UAUUCCCGUAUUAAAGGGAAGAGAAAAAGUCAGUCAUUGAAACCAUAUUGAAGCGGACGGGUAAACGUAGCGGCCUUUGUUGCUUUUCCUCGAGACUCCUUCGAUCCAGACGUCCCGGGAGAAAACUCUCCGACUCCCAUUGGUCGAGGGGGGGAUGCUGCUGACCUUUUGGCCCAUCUAACGGUACCGCUGGGAAAGGGUUGGAUGACCGUCUCACAACUUAGUGCACGUUGGACCAAAGAGAAGCUGCGACACGGGAUCGUCAAAGGAGGAGACGUGGGUCGAUAUCGACGGUUUACGUUCUGAAGUUCAAAUUCAGCCCCCCUCCUUCUAAAAUGAAAACCGAUGCAAAUUAGUUGGGAUGGUGCAGUGGAAGGAGAUGAGGCUGAUGUUAUUAUAGAGGGAGUGAUGAAGGCCAGGGAGUUUAGUUUGAAGACGAGGCCUAGCUUCGAUCGGCCUCUAAACUCUAAUUAGUUUAGGCCUGAUUAGACCAACCCAUCGGGAGGCUAAUUUUUGGGGAAAUCAACUUACACGCUAAGGUUCCAAGGCUAAAAUUAUUUUUGUAAAUAAAUCAUUUUUGAUGGAGUAUGUUCUGAUAUAUGGAUAUAUGGACUGAUACUCAAAUUUAAUAUUAAAUAAACUAGGUUUCAAAGCUAAAAUAAUUUUUUUGUAAAGAAAUUAUUUUUGAUGGAGUAUGACGCUGAUAUAUGGACAUAUUGAAUGACCUCAAAUUUAAUAUUAAAUAAACUAGGUAAUAAAUUGACUGUUGCUGCUUCAACCAUGCUCCAGCAAUCAAUGGUGACGGAUUUUUAAACAGAAGAAAAUACUUGGGAAUGGAGAUCAUCGCUAGUUAUAACAAAGGAAAAUAAAGUUCAGCACACC
rnacentral:lncRNA from 1 species